GCGACGCAGCUAACGCAUUAAGUGCCCCGCCUGGGGAGUACGAUCGCAAGAUUAAAACUCAAAGGAAUUGACGGGGCCCCGCACAAGCAGCGGAGCAUGCGGCUUAAUUCGACGCAACGCGAAGAACCUUACCAAGGCUUGACAUAUACAGGAAUAUGGCAGAGAUGUCAUAGCCGCAAGGUCUGUAUACAGGUGGUGCAUGGUUGUCGUCAGCUCGUGUCGUGAGAUGUUGGGUUAAGUCCCGCAACGAGCGCAACCCUCGUUCUGUGUUGCCAGCAUUUAGUUGGGGACUCACAGGAGACUGCCGGGGUUAACUCGGAGGAAGGUGGGGAUGACGUCAAAUCAUUAUGCCCCUUAUGUCUUGGGCUGCACGCAUGCUACAAUGGCUGGUACAAACGGCUGCAAUACCGCAAGGUGGAGCGAAUCCGAGAAAGCCAGUCUCAGUUCGGAUUGGGGUCUGCAACUCGACCCCAUGAAGUCGGAGUUGCUAGUAAUCGUAGAUCAGCAACGCUACGGUGAAUACGUUCCCGGGGCUUGUACACACCGCCCGUCACGUCACGAAAGUCG
rnacentral:rRNA from 1 species